GUGGGGCUGAAAAUGGCUGGCGGCUGUGUGCCGUGGGAGACUAACUGGUUGAGUCCUGAAGUCUGUCUGUGUCCAGUGAUAAUGGAGAUCAACCUUUCUUCUGGUUGUUGCAGUGCUUCUAAAGUAAACCCAUGAAACAACAUAAAACCGUCUUCCAUGUCUGUGCCAGCAAGUGAUGGGUCCCCACCACUCUCUGCUCAGGUACUGACAGGUGAGGACCAUGCCAUCUUCCAUCUCUGGGCCAGCAAGUGAUGGGUCCCUACACCCCUGCUCAGGUACUGACAGGUGAGGACCAUGCCAUCUUCCAUGUCUGGGCCAGCAAGUGAUGGGUCCCUACACCCCUGCUCAGGUACUGACAGGUGAGGACCAUGCCAUCUUCCAUGUCUGGGCCAGCAAGUGAUGGGUCCCUACACCUCUGCUCAGGUACUGACAGGUGAGGACCAUGCCUGCAGCAGCUCUGUGGUGCUUUUCAUCUCCUCAGUCUGUCCCUACAAGCAGGAGUGUUCCUGCGAGGCUGUGCUCAGUUCUGCAGGUUCGUGCCGCUGCAGCUGUGGUCACAGGGGCACUGUGCAGCAGGAUCAGAGAUCCGUGCCUGAAAAUAGGAGGAGGAGUCAAAAAGGAAUAGAGGUGAAAGAGCUGAGUGGUACCAGGUAACGGAGAUGAGAUGACUUGUCUCAGGGAGAGAACUGGAAGAGGAGUCUGAUGUGAUCGCAAAGGCUCAGAUAAUGGUGUGUCUGGGUACUUGUAGGUAGAUAGAAGAAUAUUUGGUGGAAUUUAUCCAAGAGAAGUAAUAAAGUGACAUCAUCUAAAAUUUGGAGGGUAAGAGGAGCAAGGAAAGGAAGAUGAUUCCUCCACAUGUGAUAAAAGGAAAUUGCAGUGCUUCAUGGGCUGGAUUAGUUGAUAGUGGAAGAAAAGCAGUUAGGUGAAUGGAACCAUCCUUUUGAUGUCAUCUUCUGAAUUUCUGGCAAGCAUGGAUGGCCCUUCUCCACAUGAAGACAAAAUGCAAGGCCAGGCUACUUCUGGUGAAUAUUUGGUAAAGGUAAGGAAGAUAUUAGAAAUGAUCAGUGAUCAACAUUAAAAUUACAUUUUAAGUCUUCUUCAGGAUAAAUCUACCAAGAGUUGAUAUGCACUGUGACAUUGAAAACAUAAUUUCUCUUCCGUGUUUUUAUUUUGUUUUGUUGGUUUUGGGGUUUUUAUUUCCCAAAGGGGGAAAUUAACCUCAGUGACUUCAGGUAGCUUCCACUGACAUUAGAUCCUCUACUGACUUCAAAACAAAUUGGGUUGAGCUCAAGCAGUCUAGAAAUAAAAGAGUGCAUGGAAGAAAAAAUCAAGGCUAACAACAAGAGAAGGCUGCUUGACUGUCUUCCGAAAGGUGCUGUAUGAAGAAUAGAUGUUUACAAAUACACUGUAUUUUACAAGAACAUAAAACACAGGCCUGAAGUGAGACUUCUGUGAUUCACUCAGAGGUUUCCUUAGGCUGAACCAUGAUAACUACAGGACACUUGGUCAGAUUAAAGCGAUUUACAGAAGUUCUGGAGAUCUGGUCAACGGUAUCUGUAGCAAGGUUGCUUUAUGUGACUACAGUUCCCCUGUGGCCUGUUUUACCAGCAUACAGAGGCACCAGGGCAGGUGAAGUUUCAUUCACUGGUGUGUUUAUGUUCAGAAACAACUAGCUAGGCAAUCCAACACCAGUAACUUCAUCCAGUGUGGUGUUUCUAUUCAUAACAUUCUGGUUGUUGUUUGUGUUUUUUUCCAUAUUUGCUUACUGAAAAUGCUGAUGAUUUUUGCUGAUUUAUUGUCCUCCUGUGAGUGGUAUCUCCUUACAGCAGAAAGGACUCAGCUAUCUUAUCCUCACUGAAGCUGAUAUACCUCAAGGGACCCAAAAUUCAUGCAGCUGCUUCAGUUCCAGUAAAGGAACAUCACCAGAGUGGGAUUUACAGCCUGCUCUGGCCACUGUUAAGUACCAGUUCAACAAAUCUAAGUUACAGUCCCAGGCAGGAGGCAGAUAGAAGGGUUGGAAGCUGGUUGGAAAAGGCUGAACAUCCCCUUUUGCUGUCAUGGAUAUGCUGUAAUGCUGAAGUACACAAGCAUAUGGGUGCAACAAAAAAAGGAUGUAGAAAGAAGCACUCAGGUCUGCAAGGAAAUUCAGAACAAAAAGAACCAUCUGAAACUGCUAGAGAAAUAAGACAACAUUUUGCCAAACUUUCUGCUGCACACUUGCAGCUUUAUAACAUUUAACUUUUUGAAAAAUUUUAGAAUUUAAUUACUUUAUUUCUUAAAUAUGUUUCAGAGCCUUAACACAUCUAAUAACAGCAGAUCAAUAGGCUCAUUGUCCUACAGUGUAUCACAGCACCAGCAAAUACCUAUGUUAUGAAACUAAGUGAAUUUACUGGAGUGUAAACCCCCAGUGAAUUGUCUGUAAUCAGCCAGCAGGCCUUCAGGGCAGGAGAAUUAAUGUAUUUUAAUAUUUUAGGUUAUCUUCCAUAUGGCAUAAUGCUAUACCCCAUCUGUAUGUGUGUGUGUGCAAACAAAUGUAGGAGGUUUUUUUCCAGAAAUAAUUUUCCCUUAGUGGAAUCUCACCUGCAUUUUAAUGUCUUUUAUCAUCUAGGCAUUCAAACAAGCAAAACUUUGGAAGAAUGUGAGUCUACAAAUAGCAUUAAUGUCUGUAGAGCUGAAUUAGAUUAUUCCAGAUCUUUUUUCUCUUUGGAGUGUUGAAAUACCUGUAUUUUAAAGGACUUUGCCAUUUCAAAAACAAGGCAUCCUUGAAAGGGGACAUGGAACUUCUCACUGAAUCACAAAAAACAAUGUUCAAGGCUUCAUAUAAUCAUUGUCAUAUGCAGAUGUUCUGUCAGGAAAACAGAGACUCUGAAGGGCUUCCAUGGAAUCCUGUUAGCCCCACAUGGCAUGACAAGCAUUUUUGUACACUCUGGUGCAGCCAUGCACCAUUUUUCAGGGUGGUACAACCUGUACUGCCUCUGCUCCUGCUCUGUGUGAGGAGUUACCUGCAGCCCAGAAAUAAAAUUCAUCCACAGCUGCAGAGUUGGAGGCCAAAGAGUUUGGUGAGAAAGUGGGAAGCAAAUAAAAGCCAGGAUGUGGUUGCAGAACAGGAGUUACUUGAAUCAGAACAAAAGAGAAGUUUUACAGAAUUUUGGGAGAGAAGACAGAGGAACUUAACAUACCAAAUGGUUGAGCCCUAUCACCUAAUCACACACCUACAUCAUCCCUACUUAUGUUGAUUUAGGCCAUGUCCUCAGCAUUCCUCAAAGCCUAGAACCAGUCUUUUACCCUGUUACUAUAUAUUUUUGCAUAGACCUCCUUGAAGUAAUUUUUCAAAGUCCUCAGUUUUAGUUGUUUCCUAAUGAAAUGGGUUAUGUGUUCAUGUUAUUCAUUCACCUAUGUCUGUUUCAUACAAUUCCCAAUCCUUUCUUCCUAAACUAACCUCUGUUUUUAAUGACCAAGGACAACAGUCAUGCUAACUUCUUUCACAACCAAAAUAAGUUAACUCAAGUAAGCUAAGAGAGGUGUGGAUUAUUUUUACCACAUCUUUUUCCUAAAUAAACUAAUGUCACUGGCUUCUUUCCAACAUAUCCUAUUAUUUAUACAUCUCAAGCUUUUUGCUGAUUUUCUACAUCUAAGAAAAAGUUAAACAGAGAGAAAAAAAACCCAAUGAAGCUGUGUAACAGCACAAAAAUAUAAUUUGAACCCAUAGUGCAUGGCAAGUUCAUGCUAGAAUCAAAAUUGUCAGUUACAUUUGCAGUUUCCUCAAAGCAGCUCCCAACCCACUGCUGCAUUUACAUUUGAUCAGUUUUUAAGUGUACAAACUAUUAAAAAAAGAGAGUUCCUCACAAAAACUAAUGAUGCAGUUUUUUUCAUUAACUUUUGCACAGCUUGACACAGUUUUAGCUGGGUUGUUUGUCAUUUUGACUUGAAAACUUUCUUUUAAUUUUGCCUAUUUCUUGGAAUAGAAACUUUGGAGGUUGAGAUCUUUUUCAGAUAAACAGGUUUAAUUCUGGGAUUUCAUGGUCAUCCUGAAGUUAUUGAUACAAAGCAUUCUGAGACAGCUCUGUCAUAGAGGAAAAAUAUUCACCUUGGUAGAAAUUGAGGCAGUGAAAGAAGAGAAGUUCACAAGAUUUAACCCUGAAAAAGAAGAAGAAUAACAAUAUCAAUCACGGAUUGAUUCUAGUUCAAGAGUUCCUGGUAUGACCAUCAUGGCAUCUAGGAUCAGAGUGCCUGAACAUUUUUGUGAGCCGUGACUCGUACAAGGAGGGGAUCUCCUCAAGGGACAAAGCAAUUGGAUAAUUCCUCCAUCUCAGAAGGCUCCUGUACUUUCUCACCACACACACUCCCUUCUCUGGAGGUAAAUGCAGUGAGUGUGGGCAGCAUACACAGAGCACUAAGGGCUAACCAGAUCAGCAGUGCAGUGAGGAAAAAAUAUGACCUGCCUGAAGGAAGAGAAGCUCAGCUUUGAGUAACCAGAGAAGCAGUUCUUAUUGUUACUGUCCCUGAAGAGAGCAAUGACUGAAUGGUCUGGCCAAUAUUUGUUUGUGUGGUUCAUCAUUAGAUUAAUUUUGAGGUCAAAAUAAUAGUGUUGCUGAGAGAAAUUCAGAUACUUGGAGGUGAGGAGUUUGCUUUAUUUACUUCCAUUGCCACAGCCACAAUGGACACAGGCCAGGUGCAGCCUUCAUGAACUUUCCUUUGAAUACACCUGCCAACACUAGAGUUCUGGUCCAUCAUGCUAAUUUUGCAAAAUUUCUGCUGCUGCUAAAAUGACAGGCAGAGGAUACGCUGCUCAGAAGAUCAGUGAGGUUUUGCCUUUUCAGACAACAGCUCCAAGGAGGAUUCAAGCCAGAGUGCCCGACUUUUCAGGAGGGAAAGCCAGCCUGCAAGAGCAAGGUGCUACUGGCCUCUCCAAGUGGCAUGGAGACAGGGAGAAGGAGGCUCUGCAGGAGCAGGCAGCCAUAAGAACCAGACUCAGCCUAUCUGCCAAGUCUACCACUUCUAACAUUUGAAAUGUUGGCCGGUAUGAAGCCAGAGCAUGGUUUCAAGAGCACUUGUAACACCUUGGACUUCUCUCACACCUCCAAUGUUCACUGACAGCUCUCAUUAAAUUAAUCCCUAUAAAGCAGUGGGGAUUUGGACAAAUUUGCCACAUUCUCAGAAGGUGUUACACCUCUACUUCAGCACCAUUAAGAAGCCUGGCCACCCAGUCUCUUGUCCCAGAAAAACUAAGUAUUUGUAAAAAAAAUCCCAUCAACAGAAUUCUAGGAAAAACAAGGUUGCCCAGGGAAGUCUAACCAACAGCUAACUCUCGUGGACUCAGACCAGAGACCUACAAGAAGACAUCAUAAAGUUAACAUUUUAAUGGAAACUGAGGGAGACAUUCUUAUAAAAUUCAAAACAGUUGCAGCCAUGAGAUAUACCAAUUUCUUUAGAAGGAAAGUUUCCCAUACAAAGAUUUAAAGAUUUGUAGUUGAAUUUUGUUUUUUAAACUUCUCACAGGUAAUGUUUGUAUGCACUGUCCUUGGACUGGGUCCUUAGGCUAUCAGUGAACAUAUUGCUUUGGUUAAACCAUUUCUAAUUCUGGACGGAAAUAAAAAUCUAUUCACCACCAUUUUCAAGCUAAAAAUGUUCAGACUGCCUUAACUCCAAAAAAUUACUUCAUAAAGCUAUCUUCUGCCAAGAGAUCAUGAGGUAAAAUUAAUGACAUUAAAUUAUUUGCCUGUCUUCUCCUUUUGCCUCUGCAAUGCCAAACUGUCCUUUUCUCUAAUGCAUAUCAUCAGAAAAACAGCUAGAAAUAAACUUGUGAAAGUCCUGCUGUGAUAAGCUGAUGAGACACAAGGGAUUCUGGAGAGCAUGACUUGUCUGCAGUGAUGGCAGAAAGAUCCUAUAUUCACCUUGCCAGCAUCCUUUGUUGGACUAACUAAUCCCUUUAUUUUACAAAGUGAGGCUCAGACACAUCUGAGAAGCCUUAUUAGCCACCAGGAACUAAUAAAAAAUAGCCUGAAAGUGAAAUAUUCUCUGUCCAAGAACAUGACCCCUUCAGACAAGUUGUCAUGGAACAUGGAACAUGGACAACUCACCAAAUAAACUUUUGUGCUGCUGACCCCUGGAAAGCCAGACAUAAUAGAGAACACAUGCGAUCGCUCCUCAUGGAUACCAAAGACAGUUUUCAUAACUAAUCAAAGAGCAAAAGUUUCCUUUUUAAGGAUACCUUUUACUGUAGAUUAUUACCUAUUUAAAGGUUUAGAAACUUUGGUUAGGGGCCUUUUUAUGUAUUUUGUUUAAGUAUGAUGCUUAGCACAGGACCUCACAUGAAGAUAUCUUAGCCUUUAGCUGUUAUCUGAUCUAUACCCAGAAUUUGGAUUCCUCUGCUAAAGAAGCAAAAAUAACUUAAUUUCACUGAUUUCACAGCUUAGAACUUUUUCACAGAACUUUUUCUAUUGUCAGCUUCUCAAAAGUUUUCAUUUCAAGGAAUAACGAAAGUGAAAUCUUUCUUUCUUAGUCAAGGAGAAAUGUUGCCAUUGAAGGGUAUUUUAAAGUCUUAGAAAAAUCUGAGGAUCUCAGGUUUUAAAAAGCAUAGAUUUAGUGCAAUUAAACUGCUUAGACUUGGUGUAGACUGUAACUGGAUUUCGGGUGUAAAAUUUAAACAUGUCAUGCAGAAACGUUUUCAUAGGCAGACUAGUCAGCAAACCUAUGUCAACCAUAAACACGCUUUGCUGUAUUAAAAGUCAGUUUGGAGAAUUUUCAUUAGAUUUGUGCAUUUUACUUUUGAUCCAACAUGAAGCAAGAACAAAAUACCUUCUCACCUGGAGCAAAAUGCAUUAAAAUAACCUCUGCCAAAGCACUGCAAUUAGAAGUGUAAUGUAACCCACAAUUCCAAAAUUCAAAAUCUAUGGAUUACUUGGAAUAGAUAGUGAUAUUAAUAAUUGCCAGUUUUUAGCCUGAAGCUUCUUGAAGUGGGUAUGGUUUUAAGCAAAAGUUGUUUCAUUUUCAUUUGAGCCUAUAGAUGCUGCAUAGAGGAGUAACCACUAAAACAUAUGAACAUACGUACAUUAAUCAUGUUGAUGAUAAUUCUCAUGUAGCUAGAAGAAAGAAUGUAAAAAAUUUGGUAAUCUCAUAUCUCUGGAAACCAAGAAAUGGUAAACUCUUCAGUAGUUUAAGAGCUAAAGGGCAUCAAUGUGGCAAAGGCAUCUGUGUUGAAACAAACAAUCAAAUCCAAGGAGAUCAAUAAAAAUGUAUGUGGAUGCUGUUUCAGAUCAAAAGCCUGGACCAUUUUUAACUAUUAUC